GCGUAUUUCAGCAGAGCUAUAUCAGGGUGUUCAAGUGGGAGUUAUGAUCCUCUUUCAGUGCUCUUAUUUCUUUUCUUCUUUCCUGUGACACCAGGGGUUGAGGAAGGCAACUGAAAUGGAAUGGUGUAUUAAGGAAAUAUGUACAGUUUCUCAGCUUUUGAAAAGGAUGUUGGCAGAGCCGGUGACUGGGGCAUGGCCGUGGUACUCCGCAUCUUUUUUGGAGGUUUUAGGGAUUAUCACAACUUCUAUUUCUGUAAUGUUGAGUCUAUUCAAUUUUUGAAAAGGUUGGCUCUUAAGGCCA